UUUUUAACUAUGUUUCAUCAUAGCUUCCACACAAAUCCAUAGCCGCUAUAUCAUCGUCCAUGGUGGGGGUACGGUCAUGGAACUCUCCUGCUAUUAGAAACGACGACGGCAGAGCCCACCCUUCUCGUGACCCUUCUUCUCCUCCUCCUCAUCCUCGGAUCGACGGCGAAGUCGACGCUUUUCUCCUCCCCAACUUCGACCCCGUCGAGGAGUGGCUUCUCGAUUUCGACUCCGCCGCGAUGCUCGGCGAUGACGAUGGUGCCAAAAGGUGCGAUUUGGAGACUAAGGAAGAUGCACCGAAGGGCUUGCUCAUACAUGAGGAGAUGAACAAGGUUAACUUGGUCGAAGACUCCGACUGCGGCACUGUUCAUUCGUGCCCAGACGCGGUGGAAAGUAAGGAUAGCGUCAUCAAUGUGACUGGUAGCAGUGUUAAUGAUGCUGUAGUGGGUUCUAGCGGUGGUAGCCUUGCAGGCGAAGAAGAAACAACUGGAUUGGAUCAGGGUGCGAAAGAACCUAAAGAAGAUGUGGUUUCUGAGGUUCAUGUGGUUAGUGAUCAGGUUGGCGAGGAGCAAGAGAGCAGAGAAACAGAGUCUGAAGAAGAUGAUGAUGAUGAUGAUGAUGAUGAUGACGACGACGAUGACGACGACGACGACGACGAGGAUUCAUCUAGUCAGCACUCUUCUUCCUCUACAAGUAGCCAAGAGGAAGAAGAUGAAGAAGACGUCGGCAAUGAUGGAGAAGAAGCUAGAAUGGUGGAUGAGGCAGUAGAUGUCGAAGACGGUGAAAUAAUUGGCAGUGAUGGGGAUGAGGGUGUUAUGAAAGGUCCUGUCAGGUCCAAGCAUGAAAUCGAGGUUCUCCCACCAGUUUCUAAAAUUGAAGUGCACUUGGAACCACAUCAUCAGACAUUACCUGUUGGCGUAAUUUCCUCGAUGCUGGGUGACAGAGUCAUUGUCGAGGGCUUGGAGAAACACAAUCCUCUCAACGAGGGUUCUAUUCUCUGGAUAUCAGAGAGCAGGAAAGCAUUGGGUCUCGUUGAUGAAAUAUUUGGACCUGUAAAGAAUCCCUAUUAUGUUGUGAGAUACAAUUCUGACAAGGAGCUGCCUGCUGGGAUCAGUGCUGGCACUCCUGUCUCUUUUGUUCCUGAGUUUGCUAAUCACAUUCUCAAUGAAAAGGAACUCUAUAAGAAAGGCUAUGAUGCAUCGGGCGAGAAUGAUGAAGAGCUAAAUGAUGAGGUUGAGUUCUCUGAUGAUGAGAAGGAAGCCGAGUACAGAAAAUCUCUAAGACAGGCAAAGAGGGGUGCUAAUGAUAGGCAGCAACAUGGGAAUAGAAAAUUUGAAAAUAAGAAGCCAAAUUUUAAGGUUCAUGGCAUUCAGAGGGAGAAGCUGUCUACGCUUCCUCAUGCAUCGGCACCUUUUAGCCAACCUGGAUGUUCUUUUGGAACGGGAAACUCUUUUAUAAGAUCUUCUUCUAUGGUUCCAGCAGUUCCAACGGGUCCUAUGGUUCCUACAGCUCCAAUUGCAGCUCAGAUGGGCAACUGCUUAAUCAACCCAUCUCUGCAGUUCUUACAACAGCAACCAAAUGCUUUUUUGCCUAAUGUGUUUCCUCCUCAACAGCAGCAGAAUCUGGGCAUCCAAGGAAUGGUGACAAAUAUGUUGCAAAACCAGCAUCUGAAGAUUAAUAAUCAGCAGCAACAACAUCAGAAUCAGAAUUUAAAUCUCCUCCUUAAUGGAAUGCCAUGUCAACAGCAGUUCUUUCCCAAUACUGGAUUUCCUACUAAUCCAUUAAUGAUUGGUGGGUCAGCGAAUCCAUCUCCCACUGUAAUGACUGUCGUGCCUAUGGGACAGGGUAACUUUGGCCAGGUGCCAAUUCGCUGCAGCAAUAUGCAAGGCCAAGGCAUUUCUUGUUUUCCUACUGAUCAGAAUUAUAUACAACCACUGCCCACUGUAGCAGGAGCACACACCCCUGUGCAAUUUAAUCUUGGGACCUCAUUGUCUGGUGGUAAACAGCCUCAUCAAAGAGGAGGUCGUCAUGUCUUUGGUAGAGGUAGAGGCCCAGGUGGUCGGCCUCAAAAUAGGUUUGCAUGUUGUCUCCAUUGACAAAUGAUUGCUUGCACACUUAAUUACCAUGUUCUGGACCUAACAAAGUUCAUCUGCUUGAAUGCUAUUAUACUUGUGUGCUUUCUUCCUCCAAUUAGAUUAGGAAGGAAAAGAAAGUUGCUAAUGCAAUCCCAAAAAAAGGGUUUGCCCUAACUUCUCACCCUUCUUCCCUUCCGGCCGGUCGCCGGUCGCCGAACGCCAUCGGAAGCCCUCCUCUUCAGAAAUCGAAGAUCGAAGAUCGGGUUCUUCACUCUUCAGAAAUCGAAACCCUCCUCGUCGCCUCUUCCUCUAAAGCUUCCGCUUCCGCUUCCGCUUCCGCCCGCUAUCCAACGAUAGAUCAGUAAUCAGGUGGUUCUUUACAAACCAGAUAAUUUGGAGAUCAAGGUCGUAUUGCUGUGAAUUGGGGCUACGCUCAUUGCGGUACGAGACAUGGGCGGCGGCGGCGACAACGGCGAUGGAGAAUCUAGGAGGAGGAGGAUUGUGUUCGUGACGGUGGGGACGACCUGUUUCAACGCCCUCGUCGAAGCCGUAGAUUCGGAGAAGGUCAAAGAAGCUCUAUGGCGAAAGGGGUUCACCCAUCUCCUCAUCCAAAUGGGCUGCGGAACCUAUAUCCCUUCGAAGGUCGUUCGUGUGCGGCGCGGCAGCACGAGGCGAGGGCGUAGCUCAGUAGAUAGCGCCC